rnacentral:rRNA from 1 species
GACGUAGGGCGCGAGCGUUUGUCCGGAUUUAUUGGGCGUAAAGAGCUCGUAGGCGGCUUGUCGCGUCGACUGUGAAAACCCGCGGCUCAACUGCGGGCUUGCAGCCGAUACGGGCAGGCUAGAGUUCGGUAGGGGAGACUGGAAUUCCUGGUGUAGCGGUGAAAUGACGCAGAUAUCAGGAGGAACACCGGUGGCGAAGGCGGGUCUCUGGGCCGAUACUGACGCUGGAGGAGCG